CCCGGGGUCUCGUGCACCAGGUCGGCGUAGGCGCGCUGGGCGCGCGCGGCCAGCUCGUCGAGUACGGCAUAGGCCGGUUCGGCGUCGGGCCCCAGGCCC
rnacentral:tRNA from 1 species